rnacentral:tRNA from 2 species
GGUGCGGUAGUCAAAAUUAAAUUGAUAUCCGUCUUGCACACGGAAGGUGAAGGUAAAUAUUUUCUCGUGCCA